AUUGAACGCUGGCGGCAGGCCUAACACAUGCAAGUCGAACGGUAGCAGAACUAGCUUGCUAGUUGCUGACGAGUGGCGAACGGGUGAGUAACGCGUGGGAAUCUACCUGGUAGUGGGGGAUAACAGUCGGAAACGACUGCUAAUACCGCAUACGUCCUAAGGGAGAAAGCGGGGGAUCUUCGGACCUCGUGCUAUCAGAUGAGCCCGCGUCGGAUUAGCUAGUUGGUGGGGUAAGGGCCUACCAAGGCGACGAUCCGUAGCUGGUCUGAGAGGAUGAUCAGCCACACUGGAACUGAGACACGGUCCAGACUCCUACGGGAGGCAGCAGUGGGGAAUAUUGGACAAUGGGCGCAAGCCUGAUCCAGCCAUGCCGCGUGUGUGAAGAAGGCCCUAGGGCUGUAAAGCACUUUCAGCAGGGAGGAAAGGAUGUACGUUAAUACCGUGCAUCUGUGACGUUACCUGCAGAAGAAGCACCGGCUAACUCCGUGCCAGCAGCCGCAGUAA
rnacentral:rRNA from 1 species